rnacentral:rRNA from 1 species
GAUCAUGGCUCAGGAUGAACGCUGGCGGCGUGCCCAACACAUGCAAGUCGAACGGACUUACAUUGAAGCCUAGCGAUAUGUAAGUUAGUGGCGGACGGGUGAGUAACGCGUGGGUAACCUGCCUUGUACUGGGGGACGAACAGUUGGAAACGACUGCUAAUACCGCAUAAGCGCACAGCUUCGCAUGAAGCAGUGUGAAAAACUCCGGUGGUACAAGAUGGACCCGCGUCUGAUUAG